UUCACUCCAACCAACCGACAGAUCACUAAAGAAGUUGCCGCCUCCUCCACCUGUCAUUCCAUGCGGGUCGGGUUCGUGGAUCAUAUCUACAACCACCAAUCCCUUCUCAGUCCGGCUCACCGCCGUUGUUUUCUUCUCUGCGUUCCUAGACUGGGUCGGGUAUCACUGAUCCUCCACCGCGUCCUCUGGUUAUCGGGGUCUUAGGUUUUCAUAAAGAUGGAAGACAGAGAAGCUGGAUUACAAGACAGAUUGAGCGAUCUACCAGACUACAUAAUUCACGAAAUCCUUUGUUUCCUCGAGAUUAAUCAAGCGAUCCGAACUUCUGUCUUGUCCAAAAGAUGGAAAAACUUGUGGGCUUCUGUUCCAGACCUGAAUUUCAACAGCAAAGGUUUUACAGAACAAACGUUUCCUAAGUUUCUCCGAAGAGUUAUGUCCAAACGGGAAGAUAGCAACGUUCGGAGACUUGACAUGUUUGCCCAUUUGCCCAUUCGUCUCUCAUCAAUGGAGGGUUUGAUAAAUUACGCAGUGGCUCAUCAGGUUGAGGAUUUUCGGUUUGUUUCUGAUGAUGUCCAACCUGUUUCUUUACCAGCAUGUGGUUCCUUGAAGACCCUUUUCUUAUCUCGAUGUAAGUUUGGUGAUUUGCUGACAUCUUUUGGUUUCGGUUUUGUUAAUCUGACCUCGUUGGACUUGUAUGUGUGUUGGUUUUGUUAUUCUGAGAAUGAUUUUGGUGACCCUUUUGCUAGUUGUCGGAAUUUGAGGAGGUUAUGCCUCCGUUAUUGUCGGUUUCCAUCUUUGAAAAGGUUGAAAAUUACUGGGUUUCAGCUGGUUAGCUUAGAAAUUCAAGGGUUCGGCUAUGGUGAUCGAGGGUUACAAGAUGGUUGUGAGGUUGAGAUUUUUGCGCCGAAUCUGUUGUCUUUUGUGUACAAAUUCUCCAAACCAGUGGAUUUCUGUGGGCUUCAUUUUCCAUCUCUUGAUUAUGUUGAGGUCCAUGUUUGGCAACAUGGUACUGAUGAGGCUACUGAUCAUGACAAAAGAAGGGCCAGUCUGUUCUUGAUGAGUAUGUUUGAAGGCUUUGGGAAUGCACAAUCUGUCAAGUUAUAUUGCGAAACCAUUCAGGUUCUUGAUUUGGUUGAUGGAUUGCUAGAACAACAACCUUCUCCCUUUAAAAGAUUGAAGAAAGUAGAUGUGCAAUGUAAUCGUGAAUCAUUCAAGGUACCUGCUCAUGUGACAAACUACUUACUCGCUGGCACUAUUGGGCAGGAACUACAUCUAGAGGUUAUUGAGCUGAUCGGAACAUGCAAACUGUUGGUGGACCUUUCUUUUUCCUUCUCUCCCUCCCUCCAAUGCUGACUCCCCUAUCUAUUUGGAGCAUCGAAAUCUAUUAUUUGCUUUUAUAUGUGCAUAUCUAUUUAGUCUUAAUACCCUUUUUUGCUUUCUGUUAUCCAGUUCAUAUUGUCUUGACAAUGUUGUGAGGCACUGGCUGAAGAUUUAGUCUAAUGCAUCACCUCUUCAUCUUCUUGCAGCAAAGGCGUCCAUACAUUGUGAAUAUUUUGUCUUGUCUCAGCAAGCAAGUGCAUGGAAAGUCCGCUUCAUCUUCAUAACAACACUCCCAGAAAGGCUGAAAAGGAAUGUAGGAGAAACUAAGUUGUGCACAAUCGCUUAAGAAAGAAAACUUCAAGUUUAGUCACCAAUCUAUGCUUUUUGUCUUCUUUUUUUCCAAGUAUAUACACAAUCAAUUUCCUUCAUUCAGAACCUCUUGCUAGAGGACAUUUGUGAAGUCAAUGCUGCAACGAUUGUGCAGGUUAUACUCUCUGAUCUUUCCAGAGCUUUAAAAUGUUGCUAGAGUAGAUAGUAGUAAUUGCAAAAAUCCUCCUUUUGGAUUCUAUUGUAAAUUUCAAUGAAAAAUGAAUUUAAUGCUGUGAUUAAGAUGAAGAA